GCGCUCACUCCAGUAGCUUAUAUACUAAAAUGGACCAAUGCAGAGAAGGUGAGCGUGGCCCCUGUGCAAGGAUGACACGCACAUUCAUGAAGCGUUCCAUGUUUCC